rnacentral:lncRNA from 1 species
UUUCAGUUCAAACCUACAAGGGCUAUGAUAUGGGAAUAGAAGUGAACCUGAAAUUGUCCAGCCUAAAAAAGAAUUAUCAAUACCAGACCUGUCAUAUAAGAAAUUCCAAAGAGGAUUCUUCAAUCUGAAAACAAAAUUGUUAAUGAGCAAUAAGAAGUAAUGUGAAGUGCAAAACUCACUGGUAAUAGUUAACAGACACAGAAUAUU